rnacentral:rRNA from 1 species
UGGGGAAUAUUGGGCAAUGGGCGAAAGCCUGAUCCAGCCAUGCCGCGUGUGUGAAGAAGGUCUUCGGAUUGUAAAGCACUUUAAGUUGGGAGGAAGGGCAUUAACCUAAUACGUUAGUGUUUUGACGUUACCGACAGAAUAAGCACCGGCUAACUCUGUGCCAGCAGCCGCGGUAAUACAGAGGGUGCAAGCGUUAAUCGGAAUUACUGGGCGUAAAGCGCGCGUAGGUGGUUUGUUAAGUUGAAUGUGAAAUCCCCGGGCUCAACCUGGGAACUGCAUCCAAAACUGGCAAGCUAGAGUAUGGUAGAGGGUAGUGGAAUUUCCUGUGUAGCGGUGAAAUGCGUAGAUAUAGGAAGGAACACCAGUGGCGAAGGCGACUACCUGGACUGAUACUGACACUGAGGUGCGAAAGCGUGGGGAGCAAACA